UUAGCUAUCCUUCAGCUACUUAAAGUGUUAUAAUGCAGUGACAAAGUGUUACCUAACAAAAAAAGCAGUAUUGUCAGUAUUUCACAAUGCAUUAAUUGUUUUCAUGUUUUUAAUUAGAAUGUUGUUAAUCAGAAUAUGUCAAUAUAAAAAAUGUCUAUUUUCUUUAAAAACAAGGUGGGUGUAGCCAAAGAAAACUGAGUGUGGUGCCACCUGAGUCAGAGGGCUAGACAGCAAAGUCUUUAAAAACAGCAUCCAACAAUGGCAAGAUCACACUCUAUAUUGUACCGCUACAAGACACGAUAGACACUUCACCACUACCCCCACAUGCAGCUGAAUUUGAGAAGAUGCCCAGAUCCAUUUGUAAAAAAUGUGGAGUUAUGAUGCCACUUUAAGUUUUGGCUUUGCACAUUGAAAAUUGUGCAUUAGAGUCAGAGAAGCAUCUGUAAGGUUUGUUUAAAGGUAUAGAAUUGCUGAUAAUUGACUUCUUUAGGCACAUUUUCCCAUUAUAUUUUUUUCUUAAACAGGAAGAAAGUCAAGAUGAGGACAUCAUUUAUGUCAGUGAGGGAAAAAAGAACAAACCCAACAUGGUUUGUUAAAACAAAGCAUUUAAAAGCAUAAUAAUGUUAUUAUUUUGAACACAUUUAGAGCACAUUGGAUUUGCUUGUUAUAGGAACUAUGUCCUGUUUGUGGAAGGUCUUUUCCUGAAGACAUGGUUGAAUUUCACGCUAGUAUCUGUGUAGAUAAUUGCUCUGCAGAAAUGGAAAUGUUUUCAGAGUGGAAAGAGGAUGCUGUAGCCCGGCCAUCCAACAGCAGAGAAGGUGACCUGGAUGCUGUAGCCUUACCAUUCAACAGAAGAGAUGGUGAGGAUGCUGUAGCUGGAACAUUCAACAGAAGAGAUGGUGAGGAUGCUGUAGCUGGACCAUCCAACAGGAGAGGUUGUGAGAAUGUGGUUGCCGGACCAUUCAACAGUAGAGAAGGUAACAAAGAUGCAGUAAAAAAAAAGACAAUGUUAAGUAGAUGAAGACAAUCCACACGGUAGCAAGCAGAAUGUUUUGUUUUUGAUUUACUUUAGAUUGGAAGAUUAUUACUAAUCCAAAAGAAGCUGCAAAUGUCUUCCGAAAACAACUACUAAUUACUGAAGAGCAGGAACAACCCUUGUGUUUCACCUUGGAUCUCAGGGAAGACCUGGAGGAGCAGGAUAGAUAGAUGAUUUCUUUGUACAAGCGACCAAAUGCCAACUGGGCUAGGCCAUUUUCCUGUAUGCUCAGAGGUAGGCCCUAAUAAUUUUUUUCUAUAGUUUGGGUCAUUACAUUGUACUUGUAACACUGGCAAAUAUAAACUUAUAAAAACAAAUGCAGUGCUAAGUGUUAUCUGCCAUAUUUUAUGUCUGUAAUAGUCAAUAGUCUGUAUAUAUCCCACUUUCCGAAAAAUGUAGUGCACAGUAUUAAUUUAUGAGAUGCCUGGUAUGUUCACUGAAAAAGCAUUGCUAAACUUACCUAUCCAUUCAAACAAAAAAUUCUAAUGCAAUUCAAUGUUUCAGGGCAAAAUAUAGAAUACAAUAGUGAUUUAUUAUUAUUAUUAUUAUUAUUAUUAUUAUUAUUAUUUGUGUGUAAACUAACCCCUUGUCAUGUUUAAGGUGAUGCCGCCACAGGUGAAGGGGUGAGCCGUCACAUUCUUAGUACUGCAAUCCUAAAACUGACACAAGGCUUCAGGAUAAACUUUGGUAAGAUGUUAUAUUUGACAGGGUCUGUGAAAUACAGGCUAAAGUCUUGUCAUCUAAUUAUAA
ensembl:lncRNA